rnacentral:rRNA from 1 species
CAGUAGCCGCGGGAAUACGUAGGGUGCGAGCGUUAAUCGGAAUUACUGGGCGUAAAGCGUGCGCAGGCGGUUAUAUAAGACAGAUGUGAAAUCCCCGGGCUCAACCUGGGACCUGCAUUUGUGACUGUAUUGCUAGAGUACGGUAGAGGGGGAUGGAAUUCCGCGUGUAGCAGUGAAAUGCGUAGAUAUGCGGAGGAACACCGAUGGCGAAGGCAAUCCCCUGGACCUGUACUGACGCUCAUGCACGAAAGCGUGGGGAGCAAACAGGAUUAGAUACCCCAGUAGUCCCUGUCUCUUAUAC